GAAGACUACGACGUUGAUAGGCAGGGUGUGUAAGCGUUGUGAGGCGUUGAGCUAACCUGUACUAAUUGCCCGUGAGGCUUGACCAUAUAACACCCAAACA
rnacentral:rRNA from 1 species